UCUUCCUCGUAGCUCGCGUGGUAGAGCGGUCGGCUGUUGAAUCGACCGGUCGUAGGUUCAAAUCCUACUUAGGGAGAA